GUGAGUUUACCCAUGAACCUGGAAGUGGGGCUUCAGGCCAGCUGAAAAUAUAUGCAGUAUAUACUGCUUGCAGUGCAAAGACCUGACAACUCUGAUGUCUGAGUAUACCUAUCAUUCAGCUUUGGGGAAGGAAACAUGGACCUGGAAGAAACUGCUGUUGCUCUGGGAGCAUGACUCCUCCUCUUCUCUGAAGAUCUUCACAGCUCCUGUGAGCAGCCUGCUGCUGCUGCUGAACUCAGGCUUACCGCCAAACUGCCAAUGUGCUCCUGCCUUCCCACCAGCAGGCCAGCCUUGAUGUUUUGCAGUUUUGACAGAACAGAAUAUGGUAGCCAUGGGAUCACCAAUGGAUUUACUAUGCUGGAUAGGAACUGGUAGCAGCAGAGACAUCAAAUUCAUACAGCUACCACUGAGUGUUGCUAUGGGCACUGAUGCAGAGGCGAAAAUACAGGCUAAGCCAUUGCUUGAUUUUUCUAUUCAAGCAACUCUUGAGUACUAAAGGAAUGGCCAUCUGCCAGUGUUUGUAAUAGAAGCACCUUGCAUUUUGAUGGUGUUAUACUGCAAUGAAGAAGAUGCAUUCCCUGUCCUAAAGAGCCUACAAUCAAAAUUCAGCAAUUGAUGCUGCUGCAAACAGGCUGAGAAAAGAAAAGGAUUAAAAUAAGUAGACAGUGGGCUUGAGUCUUUUCAGCUCAAGACAGUGGGCUCGAGUCUUUACAUUUCAUGUACCAAUACCUAUAGCAUUUUGCACCUGUUUUGUUCAGAUGUAAAGGUUCAAGGUAAGGUUCAAGGACUACCCAACCCAGUGUCAGGUAUAACAGAGGCAGACCCAGAGGGGUGCAGCAGUACAGUUGCACCUACCUUUGAUUCCUGGCCCACCCAAAGUUUAAAACAAACUGCCUGGCACAGGCAGCAGCAUUUCUAUUCAGGCAGUGUUUAGGGAGUCAUUUGAUUUUAUUGCUCAUCAUAAUCUACCUGAGUCCUUCUAAACUUUUCAUUCCAUAGCUGUUAACGAUCCUCUCUUCUUUUUGUCUUUAAUAUUCCACUAAUCAACCUAUUCUUUCUUCUGCAAUACUGCUGUCUGUUAGCUUCUCCUCUUAAUGUAUUUCACAGUUCUGCAGACCAUUUUUAGCUCUGGCUAAAAGCAUUAACUCAGGUGUGGAAAUAACUUUCACUGA